GGCGACAGUACCAGGACAAUUGAUAUGGGAGAUCGUUAAGACCAACAACUGUUUCUUGGUCAAACAGUUCGGAAGAGGCAACGCCAAGGUUCAGUUCAGCAAAGAGAAGAACAAUCUCUGCAACCUUAACUCCUACAAGCACUCUGGUAAAGAUCCAUUCAUCUUUUGCUCUCUUGUCUAUCGAUUGGAUAUUACUGGUAUUGGAACUGAACUUGUUGUUUUGUUUAGUGUAUGUAUGGUCGUAUCUGUCUGAAUUAGAAAUGUGGCUACUUUAUAUUAAAAUUGGAAGGUUCACAUAAAAAUAUGAUUACUACUUAUUUACUAAAAAUAUACGUGUGACUGAAAUUUGAAAAAAAAAAAUUAAAAACUUUUUGUUUAGUGUCUAAGGAUUUAUUAUCUGAUACAAAUUUUGAGUUGGGUGCUUGAGCUGGACUAAUGUCUCAAUCUUUUGUCUUGGGUUCAGGUCUUGCAAACAAGAAGACAGUGACCAUCCAGCCAGCUGACAAGGAACAAGGUGUUGUUUUGGCCACCACCAAGACCAAGAAGCAGAACAAGCCUAAGGUCUCUGUCAACAAGUCUAUCCUUAAGAAGGAAUUCCCCAGGAUGUCCAAGGCUGUCGCUAACCAGGUAAUUUUGUAUCUCAACUAGUUUCUAUGUCUGUUGUGCUAAUAGGUUGCUGUUUCUAGUUAUUGGUUAUUUACAAUUGUUCUUUGUUCUACUUGUCUUCUUGUGAGUGGAGAUUUCAUGUGUAUAUGUAAUGGUAACAUGGCUUGAUAGUAGAGGUGAUGAUAACUUUUGUGUCAUAUAGACAUUUAAUAAUGCCUACUUGUAGUGGCUUUACAUGUGUUCAUUUUGUCAUAAUUGGGUUAAUUUGUGUGAAAAUGAUUCAGGUGGUUGACAACUACUACAGGCCAGACUUGAAGAAAUUCGCUCUUGCUAGACUCAGUGUCAUCAGCAAAAGCAUUAGGGUUGCCAAGUCCGGUGCCAAGCAAAGAAACCGUCAAGCUUAAGCCUUUUUGAAGUACUGAAGAGGUUUAUUAAGUUGUUUUUUGUUCAAGUCGAACCUUAACACUAUGCUAUGCUUAUCCUUUUCAAAAGAAGUUAGAACUUUUUUUUAUUUAUUAUGCUUUUGGUUUCUGGUGUGCUUGUGUUGGAUCUUUUUUUUAUCAAAUCAAGGAUUUGAUCAUGUGAUAUAUUUAUUCUGUUUGACUGAGAACGAAAUAUCCAUGAAGCUCAUUUAGGAGAUAACUUCUGUGAGAUUAACUGUGGUCUUGUAAGUGGUUUCCUUCCUGCUGUUUCUGUUUUUGUUUCUUGACAUGAAUCAUUCAAAGAAGUUGGUUUUGUUUGACAGGGUCUAGGCCUGAUGAAGGAGAAACUAGAAAUCAAAAUCAUGGCGAAAGUAAGCAAAGGUGGGAAACAGAGUUUGUUGAUUCGACAGAUGCUGCACGUGCUGCUGCUGAAGCCGCUGAGAGAGCAAGUCUCUCUCUCUCUCUCUCUCUCUCUCUCUCUCUCUCUCUCUCUCUCUCUCUCUCUCUCUCUCUCUCUCUCUCUCUCUCUCUCUCUCUCUCUCUCUCUCUCUCUCUCUCUCUCUCUCUCUCUCUCUCUCUCUCUCUCUCUCUCUCUCUCUGAACUUUCACGGUGAGCGUUUAGAUCCAAUCUCAAUUGUACAUUGAUCUGUUCUUGUCUGUAUUGUUGAUUUAGUUAUUCGUUUAUAUUUCGAUUGGUUUGGUGUUACUUAGGUACGUUUUGGAAAUGGCGACAGUACCAGGACAAUUGAUAUGGGAGAUCGUUAAGACCAACAACUGUUUCUUGGUCAAACAGUUCGGAAGAGGCAACGCCAAGGUUCAGUUCAGCAAAGAGAAGAACAAUCUCUGCAACCUUAACUCCUACAAGCACUCUGGUAAAGAUCCAUUCAUCUUUUGCUCUCUUGUCUAUCGAUUGGAUAUUACUGGUAUUGGAACUGAACUUGUUGUUUUGUUUAGUGUAUGUAUGGUCGUAUCUGUCUGAAUUAGAAAUGUGGCUACUUUAUAUUAAAAUUGGAAGGUUCACAUAAAAAUAUGAUUACUACUUAUUUACUAAAAAUAUACGUGUGACUGAAAUUUGAAAAAAAAAAAUUAAAAACUUUUUGUUUAGUGUCUAAGGAUUUAUUAUCUGAUACAAAUUUUGAGUUGGGUGCUUGAGCUGGAC
rnacentral:lncRNA from 1 species